UACGUAGGGUGCGAGCGUUAAUCGGAAUUACUGGGCGUAAAGCGUGCGCAGGCGGUUUUGUAAGCCAGAUGUGAAAGCCCCGGGCUUAACCUGGGAAUGGCAUUUGGGACUGCAAGGCUGGAGUGUGGCAGAGGAGACUGGAAUUCCUGGUGUAGCAGUGAAAUGCGUAGAUAUCAGGAGGAAUACCGAUGGCGAAGGCAGCCCCCUGGGUCGAUACUGACGCUCAUGCACGAAAGCGUGGGGAGCAAACAGG
rnacentral:rRNA from 1 species